rnacentral:rRNA from 1 species
GACAGAGGGUGCUAGCGUUGUUCGGAAUUACUGGGCGUAAAGGGCGCGUAGGCGGCUUGUUUAGUCGGGUGUGAAAUCCCGGGGCUCAACCCCGGAACUGCAUUCGAUACUGGCAGGCUAGAGACCGGAAGAGGUUAGUGGAAUUCCCAGUGUAGAGGUGAAAUUCGUAGAUAUUGGGAAGAACACCAGUGGCGAAGGCGGCUAACUGGUCCGGUACUGACGCUGAGGUGCGAAAGCGUGGGGAGCAAACAGGG